CAUAUUGUGUUCUAUCUAGACUAGCCUUUGCCCACUUCUACCAUGGAAGUGAAGUGACUUAUGAGUCAAGAGGUACAGACGGCCUUGGACGCACUGAAUAAAUACAAAUAAUGGUGAUUCAUCACAAAUCAAAGUGGCUCAUCAGUAACUGAAACUUACUUCUGAAUAAAAGGGAACAAUUUACAAACAUCAAAAAGCAAAAAAUAAAAGAGCAAUACCUUGCAGAAGAUGUCGUUGCUCCCUGUUGCUAUAAGCUAAGUAAAUUGUAGCCAUUUCCCAAAUGUACCUGGAGAAGAAAUGAUUUUGGAAGAAAUCUGCUCAGCUGCUCCAUGUUGCAGCACCUUAGAGAGGCUAAGCCCAUGAGACCCCUUGGUCAAUCCUUGGGAAAAGUGGAGGGAGGAAGAAAUAGACGAGCACACAAGUGAAAAGGCCUAGUGACGGACCCUGGAUGACUGGAGCCAUGCCAGGUAUAGCCUUGGUCAACACACCAGAGAGGAAGUGGCCCUAAGUGGAAGGACAAGAAGACAUGGCUUUGACCACUCACGCUAUCAGAACCGCCUGCUCACAGAUCACGGGGCCUGCCUUGCUGAGUCCUGAAGCCUGAAUCAGAGCGAGAUCGCAGGCACACCUGAGGGGGCCCUUGUAGUACAACAUUCGUGACAAGUCUUUAUAAAAAUCUUACCUUCAUCCAGUUUCUGGACAGAAACUGUAAUAUGUUACCAUCCUUGUGUACUAGUGAGUCAAGCUUUGCUUAAUUUCUAAGAUGUACUGUGAAGAAACUCUAUGAAAGUGUGCCUUUUAAAAUUUGUGUUUACUGAUGAGGGAAAAAAAAAAAACCCAGCUUUUGUUCUGUAAUUGCUUAAGGUGACCAGGGAGAGCAUUGAUGCUGGAGUAUAAUAAAAUACUUUCCAUUCCUGUGUUUUUCUUCCAAGUGUGGUCCUCUGGGUGAAUGUUACGCAUUCUAGGGAACCUGGGACUUUGGCUAACUAUGUCUUUAAAAAAAA
rnacentral:lncRNA from 1 species